UACGUAGGUGGCAAGCGUUGUCCGGAAUUAUUGGGCGUAAAGCGCGCGCAGGCGGUCCCUUAAGUCUGAUGUGAAAGUCCACGGCUCAACCGUGGAGGGUCAUUGGAAACUGGGGGACUUGAGUACAGAAGAGGAAAGCGGAAUUCCGACGUGUAGCGGUGAAAUGCGUAGAGAUGAUGGAGGAACACCAGUGGCGAAGGCGG
rnacentral:rRNA from 1 species